rnacentral:RNase_P_RNA from 1 species
UCGACCGGCCGACUUGUCGCCUGUAAAAGGGAGGAAAGUCCGGACAGCACAGAGCAGUAUACCCUGUGAAAACGGGGGCGCCCACUGCCAUAACGGUGGGUGACAGAAAGUGCCGCAGAAAAUAUACCGCCACGAAUCAACGUGUUGAUUUGCGGUAAGGGUGAAAUGGUGGGGUAAGAGCCCACCGCGCAAAUGGCAACAUUUGUGGCAGGGUAAACCUUAUGCGCUGCAAGGCCAAAUAAGUAGAUGAAUGGAGUUGCUCGCUCCGUUGUUUGUUCGCAAACAACAUCUAUGGGUAGGCUGCGUUAGAUAAAUGACAAGGCUGAAACAGAAUCCGGCUUAUGAGCCGGUCGAUUUU